GCGAUUGGGACCCUUCCGAUUCCAAGAAGUGCCGCCGGUUGCCAUCUAUCCCUUUGCCUUCUCUCUCUCACCAGGUUUAGGCUUAGGUUUCUCGAUGUAUUUCCGGUUAAUCUUUUUGGAGAGGUCAGCAUCAGCUACUCGGAAUUGAUUUCGUUCAAAGAAGGUAGGUUCCUUGUGGACCCUUAUAUCUUUGUUCUUUCCUUUUCCUUGUGGCUGAGGAGUGUUUUGGUUUCCGAGCUCCACUUUCGAGUACUCGGUUUCUGUGAUGCUGGCUUAAUCGGUUCCAACCGACCCGUCUUGAAACACGGACCAAGGAGUCUAACAUAUGUGCGAGUAUGCGGGUUUUACUCCUGUAUGCGCAAUGAAAGUGAGAGUAGGGAGAUUUUGGCUUUGCCAUUCUUCGCACCUACGACCGACCACGAUCUCUGAGAGAGGUUUGAGUUGGAGCAUAUCUGUUAGGACCCGAAAGAUGGUGAACUAUGCCUGAGUAGAAUGAAGUCAGGGGAAACCCUGAUGGAGGUUCGUAGCGAUACUGACGUGCAAAUCGUUCGUCAAACUUGGGUAUAGGGGCGAAAGACUAAU
rnacentral:rRNA from 1 species